rnacentral:ncRNA from 1 species
CUACUGUGACGCUGCCGUGGUGCUCGGGAAGCCGGUGAGAUGCCGGCGCGGCCCUCGCCACUGUGAUCGGGAAGUCCGCGACCCUCGUCGUCAGAGAGGCCACUGGGCGUACGCCUGGGAAGGCCGGCCACGGACGCACCACCCGUCAGCCAGGAGACCGGCCACGGCACUGUGACGAAC